UACGAAGGGUGCAAGCGUUGUUCGGAUUUAUUGGGCGUAAAGCGCGCGCAGGCGGAUUAAUAAGUCAGGUGUGAAAUCUCGGGGCCCAACCCCGAAACUGCGCCUGAAACUAUUAAUCUAGAGUUAUCCAGAGGGAAGGGGAAUUUCACGUGUAGGGGUAAAAUCCGUAGAGAUGUGAAGGAACACCAGAGGCGAAGGCGCCUUCCUGGGGAUACACUGACGCUGAGGCGCGAAAGCGUGGGGAGCAAACAGG
rnacentral:rRNA from 1 species